AAUGAGGAGCUGGCCUCCAUAUAGAAAUAUAUGGAGUAUAAACUAAGAUAAACUGUCAUGUGUGAAUUGCAUCAUUGGGAACUGGGCUGUGAUGUAAUUUUCUGCAGGUACACUAACUUCGAACUCGUAUGUGUAGCUGACGACUAGCAACAUAUCGAGAGAGAACGUAGAUAUGCCACCGAUAUAGAACGCUAUUGCCACCUUAUGUUGGCGAAAUUUGUGAGGACGAAUAGGACGAGCAUGUAUCCUAAUUGUUGCAUUGUGUUUGUUGUUUGCGCACAAAAAUGCUUCCCUCACCUUUAUUCUAAUAAUUGGUGGUUGUAAACGAAUAUGCUUUUCUCAUCUUUAUUCCGAUAAUAAAUAAUUGGAAAAUGUUUGAAGCAUGAUUGUCCUAUAAGCAAAUUUCUAGUUUUGUUUGUUGUGUCCUUUAGACAUGUAUUUAUGAGGCAUGUGGUUCUUCGUCAAUUGACCGCUAGUGCAACUUGGGUUUGUUUUCGUGCUUGUGUGCGGGUAGAAUGUAGGUAGUUUGUUUGCAUAAACCCAAAGCUAGGUCAUGUCCUCAUUUAGUGAACCAUAACCCAAAUCGUCAUCAAUCCUCCAAAAAUUUAUCCAAAUCUCCAAGAAGGGAUGAAUUCGAGUUUCUCGUUACUACUCCAUGACCGCUUAGAUAAGCUUUUUAUUGGAUGUAAAAUGCACGCAGACUUAAAAUAAGGAUCUCAAGUACAUGUUCUCGUCGUUUAAUACGUGACUCUUUUGUAGUCAUUUUUCCAUCCAAAAUCAUGCCUUUGCUCGCUUGGUGCAAGCUGAUGUUUCUAUUCCACUCUGUAUCUUCUUGGGGACCAUGUCGUUAUUUUAUCAACCUAACCCGGGAAAGCCAUGUCCAAUCAUUUUCUUGAACUGGAUGUCUUUGGGUUCCUCAUAUCUCUUGAAGGCAUACCAAUUUAAUCUUCUGAUCAUUUUUCCUCUGAACCUAAUCAGACACUAAUCCUUGACUUUGUAAUCUCUGCGAUGGGCAUAGAAAUAUGCUUGGGGCUGAAGUAAGAGUCUCCCAUCGUACUCAUUCAUUAAUAAGUUUAGGUUAUGGCCAUCUCUUGUUCAUUUCAUCGGCCAUGAUCUAUUUGGCUCUCUGUUUGUAAUCCUUCUUAAAGGUGGAGUCUCUUUUGUAUCUUGUCAUCCUUGCUUGGUCUAUGUGUGCCGCAUAAGGUUUUUCAUUGGUUGAGCUUGGUAAUGGCGUUAUGACUAAAACUGACGGUGCCACGACGAAACCGAGGGCCUCCUGUGGGUAUACACACAUGGUUGUGUUGCUCGGUACGCGCUGGUAUCACGGUUAGUAGUUGUAAUCCAUUAGGAAGCUAUAUCAAUGUGUUAUCUAGGCACAAUCUUUUUACGCUAUGUGAGAUUCAUUAUUGGUGCCAGUUCGGUGAUGGUGUCAUGAAUAAGGACUUAUGGUGCCGCAGCGAAACUGAGAGCCCCUUGUGAAUGUACACGCAAGGUUAUGCUGCUUGGCGCAUGCUGGUAUCGAGGUAUCUAGUCAUGAUCCAUUAUGGAACUACAUUAAUAUAUUAUCUUUCGUGGACUUUUCCCUUGAAACGAUUUUUAUGUUCUUUGCUGAAACAAUCAAACAACAUAUGCCAUCACUAUUGGAUCAAAAUAAUAUAUAACUCUAAUGUAUUCCUUGAGUAAAGUUCUUACCAAUUCUGAAGUCUUCGUAAAAAAAUCAAAACCUAUCUGUAUCUAGUCGUGUGGUAAAAUCACCCUUUUCAUGUGGGGACUCCUUUCUCUUGAUCUCAGUGGCAACUGCACACAUGGAACCUUAUGUGUUCUUUUGUCAGUUAUAGCUUGUUUGUUGACAUCUCUAGUUAAACUAAAGUGGUAUGUGCUAUACCCACUAGAGAAGCAACAUUUUGAGAUGCUUGUCUUUGCUUGGAAUUAGCUUAUGCUAUCACUAUUAUGGACAGGGUUAUACGCUUCUCUACUCUUAGAAGUCUUUCGUUCUGAAUCUCGGGACGAGAUUCUUUUAAGGGGGAAGGUUGUAACACCCCAGGUGUUUAUCGUCUACUCGACCACGAGUGCGGACGAUAACACGUGAUAGCUGUGAAUGUAAAGGUCACUAAAUUUUAAUCAUCCUCGUUUAUCACGAUUUUGAUAUCGUGUCUGUCUCCAUCUGUUUAAAUUGUCCUAAUUUAUUUUGCAAAAUUCAGACUUUGGUAAUUUUCGGAACAUCGAAUCCAGUAUCGUUUGGAUUAAGCCAUCGACGUCUUGCCCAAACUUUAAUUCUAGAAAUUAGAUCUGGUUUCUUAAACUUCAUUUGAAAUUCUUUCACGCUUGCGUUGCACGUGUCUCUCUGUGGCCUGGCAUCGUGGCGCGUGGCUGGUGGUAAGCGGUGUCUGGACAGCGCACAACCUCUCGCCCACGUGAAAGUUGCGUGACGUCGAUUCCAAAAGGAUCACAAUUUCGAUGCCACCUCGAUCUCACAUAUUUAUUUUGUGAAAUGUCGAGUCUUGUGUCUGUUUAAAAUUCAUGGAUUAAGCGAAUACGAAUUUGGAAUUCAACCAUUUCACAAAAGCUCAAGUUCGGUGUAGUAUUCAUCUCCAUAAUUUAAACAAUUAAAAAGGUUUCAUGAACUUUGGGGUUACCUAAUCUCAUUUGCUGGUGAAAUUUGUGUUGUUCAAAUUACGCGUGCAAAUGAAUAUGAAAAUCAGAAAAUGUCGGAUUUAAUGUAAAAUUUGGAGCCCACAUGUUGUCCGAGAAAAACAACGCGCCAGCUCAGUAAUCGAAUUAUUCUUUAGUCAAAUGACCGAUGGCAGAUGAGACUCAUAAAAAUUUGACUGGAUUAAAGAUAGUCUAAACUACCAAAGUCGAUCUCGUUUGAUUCGGUCCGUAUGUUUCUCAUCAGUUCUAAAUCUUUGGAUAUAAAUAACUGGUAAAAGUUUAUCUGACUCCGGAGUAUUCCCUAGAUCAAAUCUUGUUCAAAUAUUGCCGUCGAUCUUGUUUUAGUCUGACCCAUUUAUACAUCCGUCAAACCCUGAUUUUUUUUAGAACCGGGAAAUGUAUUUAUCUUUUCCAAAAAAGAGAGAAGUGGAAAAAUCCAUUUUUUCUUAUCUUCCACACGUCCCUUUCUUCUAGUAUCUUCAUACCACCGCAGCCCAGGCUCUCAGCCUUAUCCCCUUCGUACAACACUAUCACCAGGAAUUCCCUUGCCUUUGCUCGUUCUCAUGGCCGAGCACAAGUCUUCCUCAAGCGUCGCCUGCUGUACCAGUGUCGAGCUCCCCACGCUCGCCGCUACUCCUAGCCCCUCUCCUCCCUGGAUUUGGCCCAGUCUCCAUCUCUCUUUCCAGCCAUGGACGGCGACCUCUCCUGCCUACAGCAGGUCAGCGCCCCAUCUCCUCAACAUCUCGGCUCCCUGUCCCAUCUCUCUCUCACGAGCCACUCUUCUCGUUCUCCAUGGCGUCGACAUGGGGCUCGCCCCUGCAACCUCGCCUCGCUGGGUCUCCUCAGGGCGCCGGGAUGCUGCUUCCUAUACAUCGUGCGCCUCCCUGGUGCUUGCUCUCGCCCUAGUCCAUGGAGCAGCAGCAGCCACGACACUCCUUCGUGUCGCGCCCUCGACGUGUUCGAUGAAAUACUGCAGCGAGCUCCAACUCGAUCUGCACAGCCCCUGCGCGACGUCACAAACUCCGCUCGUUGUCGAUGUCGUGCUUCGGGCAUCGAGUGUUCGACGAAAAUCCCAAGUCCAUGGACAGCACAUACACAACUCAAAUCCGAUCGGCCAGGUACGUUAAUUGCUCACGUGCUGUAGAGGACGAGAGUUGGAUUAAUCUCAGAGUAAUGCUGAUGGAUGAACCUAAGGAUGGGUGAUCUGAUCGAGUGCCAGGAUAUUGAAGCUCACCCACCGGACGUCUCUAACAACACUAACGUAGUGUUAUCCCAGGUUAUAAGUUUGUUCUGUUGUGGAUGGUGCUAAGUGCCGGUGGGCUCGGCCUUCUUAUAUAAGUAUAUCCCAUCUUUAGCUUCUUUAUUGAGGACUGUCACUUAAGCUAGCAUGUAUUUUAAAACUUAUAAAUGUUUUAUACAUUCAAAUUGUAAUAUUUUUGAAUCAAAUUCUCUUAUAAUCACUCCGAUGAUAUAUUGUAAUAUGGUUAUAACUUGUAAAUGUUGUAACUUGUAAUCAUUUUGUAAUAAAGAAUUUAUUUC